rnacentral:rRNA from 1 species
UACGUAGGGGGCGAGCGUUGUCCGGAAUCAUUGGGCGUAAAGCGCGUGUAGGCGGCUUGGUAAGUCCGGUGUGAAACCUUGGGGCUCAACCCCAAGCCUGCACUGGAUACUGCCUCGCUUGAGUCCGGGAGGGGAGAGCGGAAUUCCUAGUGUAGCGGUGAAAUGCGCAGAUAUUAGGAAGAACACCGGUGGCGAAGGCGGCUCUCUGGAACGGUACUGACGCUGAGGCGCGAAAGCUAGGGGAGCAAAC